rnacentral:rRNA from 1 species
CCUACGGGAGGCUGCAGUGGGGAAUAUUGCACAAUGGGGGAAACCCUGAUGCAGCGACGCCGCGUGAGUGAAGAAGUAAUUCGUUAUGUAAAGCUCUAUCAGCAGGGAAGAAAAUGACGGUACCUGAGUAAGAAGCCCCGGCUAACUACGUGCCAGCAGCCGCGGUAAUACGUAGGGGGCAAGCGUUAUCCGGAUUUACUGGGUGUAAAGGGAGCGUAGACGGCAGUGCAAGUCUGGAGUGAAAGGCGGGGGCUCAACCCCCGGACUGCUCUGGAAACUGUACGGCUGGAGUGCAGGAGAGGUAAGUGGAAUUCCCGGUGUAGCGGUGGAAUGCGUAGAUAUCGGGAGGAACACCAGAGGCGAAGGCGACUUACUGGACUGUAACUGACGCUGAGGCUCGAAAGCGUGGGGAGCAAACAGGAUUAGAUACCCUUGUAGUC